GCAGGGCCUGAGCCCAGCAAUUCCCCUGCCCAGGAGGCAGAACUCCUGCCCUGGGCAGUGCCAGCCCUGAGCAGAGCCCACAGAGGCUCUGGGGUCUGAUUGCAGAGCAGUCUGGGCACAGGCCUGUGCCACGGGGAAGGAGGCGUCGUGUGAGGCGAUGGCCAUGGGCAGCCUCGCUGGGACACCCUUUGGCAAAGUUGCCAUGGGCUGGGACGGUGGUACUGAUCAGGGAAUUCUGUGAGGCGACACAGGAGCUGUGUGCUUUACACGCUCUGAAAUCCAAAUUCGUCACAGAACCACAGAAUAUGCUGAGCUGGAAGGCGCCCACCAGGACUGUUGAGUCCAGCUCCUGGUCCUGCACAGGACAACCCCAAGAAUCCCUCCAUGCCACUUCACACUUUGGGUUGACACCCUGAGAACGAGCCAGUGCCCAAAGGCGGGGCUGUGAUCUUUCUGGUGAGCCCUGUGCACGUAUGACGGUCACACACACCUGUGCAGAGCCACUGGACAUCCCAUUUUGCAGCAGGAACAUUGGAUCAGGACAAGAGGCCACAUGUGAGUCCUCCUUGUGGAUCAUGAUGCUGCUCAAGGUCUCUUUAACGAGGAUGGAGUGACGGGGAUGGAUGGCUUUUGUUACUUCAGAAAGACACAAACACUUGGAGGAGGAAGUAAAGUGCAAUUCCCUCCAUCUUCGGUGUUCACACCCUUUCUGGUUCAGUGACACACUGGAGUUCAACCUCACAAUGCUAGAAAGAAAUUUGACUCCUUGCCUGAAGUGCAGAAGCAGAGAAAAGUUGUCACCAAUUCUUUAGACUUCAUGUAACUUAAGGAUCUCCUGGAUUUUCAGGUGACUGGUGUCCUGAAUUCUGGGAGCAAGUGAAGCUAUCGGAGUAAACUUGUGUCUUGCUGUAUGUACUUAUCAGAAGACAAGCAUGGCACAGGGGAGGUAAUAAACAAGUUCUAAAGCAAAGGAAGAGUUUGAUGAGCAGUCCUGUCCCCUGCACACCCCCUGCUCCUGCUGCUCCUGGUAUCAGCAUUUGCCUGAGCUCUGGAAUGCCAGCCACUGAAAUGUGUGGCUGAAGUCAUCCCUGCACUGAACUCAGCAGGCAAUCUGUCACUGAAUUCAUUUCUGCCAAGAUCUCAAUCCAGGCUUGUACUGAUAGACCCUCAAAUAAAUAUUAUUGAUUAGUCAUCAUUAUUUCUUACUGUUGAUGUGCAGAAGGUUGUGGAGCCUUGCAGUUGGAUUUCUGCACAGUCCACUGGAAAAUCUGUUUGAUUAUAGUGUUUAUGUUGGCAGCGAGGUUCGUCUUUAUUGCAGGCUGAGGUUAAAGUCUCAGAUUUUGUCAAAAACCCAAAGCAAAAGUGAAGCUGACUCCCCUGAACCUCAGAGCAGAAAAAUCCUCACCAAAGAGAGCAGCUGGGGGCGUGGGGCUGACUCUGGAUUCACACUCCAGAGCACAAAUAAGCCAGGCUUUGGGGUCUGAGUGGUUCCAGCUUCAGCAUCCUCUGGGUCAGAGGGACUGAACUGCUGGCCCUGGUGCCUGAGCCCCUAAAUCUGCUCAGGGACAGGGAAGCCACGGUGCCAAACGUGAGUUACCUUCUCCCCUGCAUGGAACAUGCCCAGCUCCAGCCCUGCUCCGAACUGCUGGCAGCCAGGAAGCAAUUACAGCUCCUGCUCCUGCCAGAUGAUUGAGUGCUCGCAGACACAGAUUCCUGAGAAAGUAUAAUAGAGAAAAUGCAUUAGCAGAGUAUUUGUGCCUUCAUAGGAAAUGAAUAUGGAUGUAAUUAAGAAAAGCUGAUUUAUGUGGAACUGUAAAGCCAAGGACAUAAAAUGAAAAAUUCUCAGUAAAUGUCAAGUCAGUGUUUUGUGGUGGCCAAAACAAGGCAAGGAGAGUAUUGCAAUGGUAUUAAGGAACUGAAAAUUAAAAUGCCACUAUAUAAAUCCCUAGUACAUGAAUAUUUAAGACAUUAUAUGGAGUUCCAAGCACCUGAUCCCCAGAGAUUAUAGAAGUGCUGUUCCACUCUAGUCUGUUACUAACAUUUUGAGAACAGCAAGAUCACAAGCAUUUUUCUAGCUAGGAAAAGCCAAGUGGUUUCCGUGGCGGGUGUGUGAAGUGUCUGUGUGUGUGUAGACCCCACUAAGGCAGGAAAGCCUGGAUGUCCCUAAUGCUGUGGUGCACACUGAGAUCAGCUUUCUUCUUUCAGGCACUGUUGUGUCUGCUCAUGUCCUGAUGCCACGGAGCUCUUGGGUUUGUUCCUUUAUAGCACAUUUUCCCCUGAUAAAUCCAUCACCUUUAAGCACAGUGAGAAAUUUCACUAUUUACCUAAAACCUGACUGUUGCCCUGUCACAUUUCAAACUUCCACACACUGCAGCACACAAAAUACUCCUGGAUUAUGACCCUGACUGAUACGUGAUAUGUGAAAGCACCUUCCUCCAAACGUGAGCUCAUCAAUAAAUGAAGGAAUUUUACCAGGUAAUUUUCAUAAUUAAAAAAGUAGCCAUGAACCUUCUAAAAGCUGAAAGCUAAUUCACAGCAGUCAGAUGAUGAAUAAUUCAUACACUGGACUUCAGUUAUAUAUCCCUACAUAAAAAUGAGGAAAAGAUGAACUUCAUGAGGCUUAAUUUGCAUUCCAGCAAAUGAUCCGCAUUAUGUAAAUUAAAAAAAAAAAUCUAAACCCUCAUUAUUUGGUCAUUAAAAACUUUGUAACUAUUUUUAACUUAAAAGAAUGCUUUUUGCCAUGAAACCUCCAAAUGAGAUGUAAAUAGAUAAAACCUAUUUACUGCAUAUUUCACUGGCCCUUAAAUCCAGAAAUGUAUUUCUGUAUAUAUCAUUGCUCUGAUUAGUCUGCAGCAAAUGAAAUUGUAUGUAAUUUUCUGAAAAAGUACAGGCAAAUGUCACAAAAUGAGUUCAGUCACUGUGAUCCAGUUACAUGUGGAUUCAAAACCUGCAUCUUUUAUUAUUUUAAAGCAAAUUCCAUCUGUAGCUUUUGCUUUGACAGUCAGCAAAGGAGAAGCUAUCAGAAUCUGUACUACCCCACUAGAGAACACAGGACUAGCUCUAAAGCAGUCCACUAGAAAAUAACCUUUAAUGCAAGUUUUGUUGAAUUAUUUUUAUCAAUGUGUUGACUGUGAAAUAGAAAUUUAUCAUUUAUCUAGACUUUCUAAAUGUUUUUCUAACAUUAACAACUGCAUCUAGUGUGCUAAUGGAAUGCAGACUAACAUUAGCAAAACAGGCAGCAUUUGUAAGAUAUUUGUUGCUUCUCCUGUCGCACCAUUAAUCUUCUGAUCCAGGUGUCCACGAAUUCCACAGGUAUCCACAAAAAAAGACCUAUUUUUAAUAUGUAUAUAUGAAGCCAUUCUCGGAAUAAUCCUCCUUCUAAAUGCAAUUUGAUUAUAAGGGCUUCAUGAUUUCUCUGUUCGGGCUCUAUCAGGCCAUGAACAAAAACUUGCAUUGCUCUGUUUGUACUUCCUUCCUCAGGAUCUGGAGCAAAUACAGUUUACUUUGCAAAGUGGUACUUGACAUAAGGAAAAAACCUGCAGUAUCUUCCCUGAGUGAAUGGGGUCUUCUGUUCCCCAAACCUGGUGAGGUCCCAUUUCACAGACUCUAGUAUGUUUAGUUUCUAAAGGGACGGAAAGGGACUCAUCUGCUUCUGGACAAACACACAGAAUACAAAAUUAUUCCAUACAUAUGGUUCCCUUUCCUAUCCAAAGAAUAUUCCUUCUUCCCAGUCUAGGCACAAACCACUGAACUUUGAUUUCUUCUUAAACUGCCCCAGCCAUGAGCAGUUCUUUGGAGCUGCCUCUUGACAAUGUGUACAUGUGCUGAGCGAAAGAAAGGACACUAAUUAGUAUCUAUUUAAAUUAAUAUCUACAAACCACAAGACAAAGACAGGACACAUUCCAGGGUUUUUUUAUCCUUGCUUGUCUUUAUUUCAAAAUUAUCCUUAUGUUCUGCUGAAUAAUGAUUCAUUUCCAAAUGCAAAAGAUCAUUUAGCUUUGUGUUCUUUAUUAAGACAAUUAUUCUUACAAAAAUAGAAAAGCAUUAGCCUUUAUUAAUUUUUAGUUUAACAUACAGUCCAUUUCUGUCGGAAGGAGCAUUCUGGGCUGCAGAAUGUUUGAUUUAUUGUUGAUGGUUGUUUAAUUGUUAGGUCAUAACAGGUCUUCUGGCCACCACAUAAAUUAUCAAGAUUUUGCCAUUAUGUUUAAAUCUACACAGACAUCAAAAAAUGUUUGUCUAGCCAAAUUACUUUAGGAUGAACU